AGUGAGUGAUUCUUUUGUUUCCUGCGAGGCCUGAUAACUUGGGCCUAACCAGACACAGCUUAGGGCCCAGGUCCAGUUAAAGCACGACUCAGCACAUCAGGAAGUUCGUAAACGCUUUACGAAGGCGGAAUCGUCCCUCUCUCUACUCUUUCCCAUGGCCGCCAGGAGGAAGCCCGGCAGGUCGCCGGUGGCGGCGGCGGCGAAUGCGAAGGCGUCGGCGAAGGAAGACGACGCGUAGGGCCUAUUCUGCGACCUCGGCCUCCGCCCCACACUCCGCGCCCGCCUCCAACCAAGGUGGCUCCUCAUCUGAUCUGAGCAGGGAAGCAUACACCUUGGUUGUUAUAUUAAGUAGCAGCACGAUCAAAUGAGAAGCUUUGAGAAGGAGGGAGAGGAGGGGUGUCUGUGGACUGUGGUGUUGAUGUAAACUUGGUAAGUCUUUUGUUCCCAACUACAGCCAUGGUGAUUGUGACAGAGGAUGGUCCAGAUUGCAACAGUUAUCCUCUCGAUUAAUCCUAGGCCUGGCUACACGCCGGACAUGUAAAAAAACAACUGUCAUAUCGGACCAUCGUUCUAAUUUUAGGGAUAAAAACAGAGCGCUUCCUAA